CCCACUCGUCCAGAAGCAUCCCAGGUUCAGCUCUGCCCAUCAGCAAAGCCGCUUUUCUGCGGGCAGGUGAUCGGGCAGGUACUUACAGACAUUCACGGAGCCCACACCUUCACACAGCCUGCGGGAAAGAAAACUCCGUUAGCGCUGCACACGGAGCGGGGAUCCUCGAGCCAGGUGGUUGCUCAGGGACAGGGAGGGCCGUUCCAUGUACAGAUGCCCCCCCUGCCCCCCGAGUCAGGGAGGGCGCCCCAACGUCUGCAUUACAGGACCCCCGUCUCUCUCUGACCAUUCUCUGACCACAGGGACAAGGCCUUCCGGUUCUGAGCAGAGCUGGCACGACGCUGAGCUCCGCCGGCUGCCGCCGAUCUGAGGUCCCCUGGGCCUCCCGGAGGAGUGUGGUCAGGCCCCCAGAAAGCAGCAGGAGGGUGUGCAAAGGGCCGGAGCGCCAUCCAGGAGCUCGCGUGCAGGGAGCGCACUGUCCUCACGCCGUGCCAGCCCGUGGGGCGGCCACGCGGCGGCCUCCCGUAGGGAGCUACUGGGAGAAAAUGGGUUUGGGGGGCAAGUGGCUUGGAAACAGGCUGCGCCUCUUGCGCUUAGUAACUGAGGCCACGAGAACGUCACUGCACGCGGGGCCUUACUCCCUCACCUUUGGGUGUGAAACAUGGUCUCUACCUCAUUGGAUUGUGAGGACUGAGCUGAGCGCAUGGCACAGGCCAAACACAUAGUAUUUGAUAAGUUAUGACUAUUAUUGAAGCUUAACCUGUACUAGCGGUGGUUAGAGAUGUAGCUCACACUUGGGCUCAGGGAAACACACUCCUGGGGGUGCCAGGGCCUCCUCCAUCCCACCAGAGCCUCCUCAGCCCCACCUGUGCUCCUCGCCCUCCAGCAGCCGCCUGUAGGUGGCGAUCUCGAUGUCCAGGCCCAGCUUGGAGUUCAUCACCUCCUGGUACUCCUUGAGCAGGCAGGCCAUGUCCUGCUUGGCCUUCUGCAGGGCGGCCUCCAGCUCGGCCAGCUUGCAGCGGGCGUCGGUGAGGGCCGCCUCGCCCUGCUGCUCCGCCUCGGCCACGGCGGCCUCCAGCUUGGCCCGCUGCGGGGAGGGAGAUGGGGGAUCAGGGAUGAGAGAGAGAAGGCACGGCCGGGCUCGCCUGAGCGCGUGGAGCUGCACCAGGGAGAGGGGGCCAGAGGUCCAGGGAGAAGCUAGGUGAACCAUGUACGAUGGGUGCUUAAUGAGACCUUGCCCAUGAGCGAGAAGGCCCAUGGCCUUUCACCAUGUCUCCUUGAUGGUGGCCUCAAGGUGGCCAAGGAGGGUGAUGCGGAUGCGUGUGACGUGGUACGUCCCACUGUGGGUGCCGAGUGAUUCGGUUGGGUCCCUGCUUCCUCACGGGCAUGCUGUGAAGCCCGACUGGGGCCAGGCUUUUGCCCUCCUGGUACUGCGGUCUGCCCGUGCUGGACAUGCAGGCCCCUCCUCGUACCCUACCUGGCACUUGGCGUUCUCGAUCUCGGCUGUCAGCCUCUGGAUCAUGCGGUUGAGCUCGUUGAUCUCCUCCUUGGUGCGGCGCAGAGUCUCCCCGUGCCGGAUCACCGUGGCCUUCAUCUCCUCACACUGUGUGUAUGUAGGGGGGGCACAGGGGCUCCUGAGGCUCAGGACGGGUCAUCCCGCUGAGUCCCACACCUUGCACAACUGCCACCCCAACCCGAGGGCUGCCUGCCCUUCCCUCGUCCAUCCCAGCUGGACAAAUCCCAAAGCCCUUUCAGCAUCCCUCCUUCUGGGGCUCUGGCAGGGGGAGGCUGGGCCCCGACCUUGCUGCGGUACCAGGACUCGGCCUCAGCCCGGCUGCGGCUGGCGAUGUCGUCGUACUGGGCCUUGAUCUCGGCCACGACGCAGUCCAUGUUCAGGUCCCGGCUGUUGUCCAUCUUGACGAUGACCGAGGUGUCUGAGAUGUGGGCGUGGAGGACCUGGAGCUCCUGGGGGCCAACAGCCAAUACAUUUGGGUCUGGCGCCCGGUCUGGGCCGUGGGCUCCACCCUUAGGGGCGGUGUCCGCUCCCUGGAGUGGUCAUGCGUGUGGCAUGACUCCUGCUCCGCGGGCUCCCCUGCCGCCUUCAUUCCCACGCAGGCUCAUCAUCAGACAAGAAAGCUGGAAGGGCCCCAGGAGGAGCUGCGGACUGACUGCCCCUGACUUAACAAAUGGGAAAACCGAAGCCCGUGCUGGCUUUUCUCAAAGUCACCCAGCAGGGGACCUGGGGUUCGAACACUGGGUGCUCACGCCUCCCGUCUACCUGCCCUGGCUGGUCAGCAGGGGCCCCCUCACCUCGUCGUAGAGGCGCUUCAGGAAGCUAGAUUCCUCCACCAGCGCCUCCACGUUGGCCUCCAGGUCGGAUUUCCGCAGGUGGGGACGCUUCCUGAGACGUUCCUGUGUGGUGUGAGGCCCAUGCUAAGCGCCCACAUCCAUCCAUCUGUAGCUACAGCUGACCCUUGAACAAUGCGGGGCUUAGGGGCACCCACGCCUCCCCCGGCCCUCCCACCCCGCGCAGUUGAAAAUUGGCGUAUGGCUUUUGACUCCCCGAAAACUGAACUACUAAUACCC